ACACACUUAAACACAAAUAUUACUCUAACUCCCCCGAUAACCGCAUACUCUCAGACACACAAACACACACUCAGACACACGAACUGAGAAGAACACGACGAAGGAAGAGAUUUAAAGCUCGGAGGAGAUAACACGCAGCUCAGAGAGGUUUAAAGCUCGAAAGGGAUUGCGAGAAUCUCUCCAGGUUUAUUGUUCUUGAAUUGACAUUGAAAUUGACUAGACUUGCCCUUGCUCUGCCUUUAUUGUUGCCUGGCCCUUUACAUGAGGUGUAUUGAUAGAUAAGACAAAUGUUAGAUUCUGCCAUAUUAAUGGUUGAAGCAAACAAGUUGUGUGGAUUUAGCUGAAGAAAAAUAUCCUUUGAUUUCGCUUGGUCAUUUUACCGAUAUACUAAUUUUAUGCCCAAAUUUUUAUUGUAAACGUUUUUUAUUGUAUUUAUGCUAGAGAUUCAUGUGACCAAAAUCUCAGCUUCUUAAGUUCGGGGUGUUGAUUAAAACAGAUUUGGAAAUGCAAGGGGAUCUAAUAAUUAGGUUCUUGAUCAAAGAAGUUGAAAAUGCUGCAUUUACAAACAUUCAAGAUAUUGUGCUUUGGUGAAAUGGCUUGAUGAUGAGAUUUCUUACGUGGUUGACUAAAGAGUAGUGCUUAAGCAUUUCUAGUGGCCAGCAGCAGAACAAAAGGCUCGUGCACUUAGAUUUAAACAUGGCCCAAGCUGACAAACAUAAUUGAUAAAAGCUAGGCUGCUAUAACUGAUGUUUUCCAUAUCUUGCCGGGAAUGAUGAAAACACCUGCAGAGAGGUGCUUUCUAUGGCUUGGUGGAUUUGAUCAACUUCUAAAUACAGCUGAUGUCAACAAUCGUGUUAUAUAUGCGGAGGUGUGGGGGUGGGGGUAAAUCCCAAUCCCAGUAGCUCAUCUUCAUUUAUGUGAGAUGCUAUAUUACAGAAAAUAUAGCCACCACAACUAGAUUAUGACAGGUUACAAUGCAAGUGACUCUGAUUCAGAUGAUAUGUUAGAUGGCUCUUAAUGACUAUUGGACAUAAAAUUCUGUUCAAUUGUCUAUAAAAAUUUCUGUUCAAUUCCCUACAGAAACCAAGAAAGCUGCCAUGGAAAUGGAGAAGACAAAAUCUUCAGAAGUACUACAAAAGUUAGGAGAUGAGUUAGGUUCUCAAAUGGAGGACAAAAUGAAGAAGUUGGAGAACGCAUAUGUGCAAACUUUAGCCUUAUUUUGCUUGAACUUUUGUGUUUUUAUUAGACUUGGUUAUGUACUCAUGUUGAAACAGCAGUAAUAGGACUAUAGUACUGCUUGUUGAAUUUUUGGAUUGGUGAAUGUUGGAUUGUGUUUUGAUAUAUCAAUUAAAUUUGGUGGCUUUGAAUGAAA